UACAGAGGGUGCAAGCGUUAAUCGGAAUUACUGGGCGUAAAGCGUGCGUAGACGGUUACGUAAGUCGGGUGUGAAAGCCCCGGGCUCAACCUGGGAAUUGCAUUCGAGACUGCGUAGCUAGGGUGCGGAAGAGGGAAGCGGAAUUUCCGGUGUAGCGGUGAAAUGCGUAGAUAUCGGAAGGAACACCAGUGGCGAAAGCGGCUUCCUGGUCCAGCACCGACGUCAGGCACGAAAGCGUGGGGAGCAAACAGG
rnacentral:rRNA from 1 species